GAAAUGCGAUAAGUAAUGUGAAUUGCAGAAUUCAGUGAAUCAUCGAAUCUUUGAACGCACAUUGCGCCCGCCAGUAUUUUGGCGGGCAUGCCUGUUCGAGCGUCAUUUCAACCAUCAAGCCCCCGGCUUGUGUUGGGGACCUGCGGCUGCCCGCAGGCCCUGAAAACCAGUGGCGGGCUCGCUGUCACACCGAGCGUAGUAGCAUACAUCUCGCUCAGGGCGUGCUGCGGGUUCCGGCCGUUAAAAGCCUUUUUUUACCCAAGGUUGACCUCGGAUCAGGUAGGAAGACCCGCUGAACUUAAGC
rnacentral:misc_RNA from 1 species